ACCGAUUCUCUAUAGACGUUACCAUCUGUUCGCGUAUGAGCGCACGGGCACGAGCCAAUCAGAGCCGCUGGAACGGCUGACCUUCGGUCAAACGCAAAAAACCCCUCGCCUUUCGGGAGAAAACCCCUCCCGGCGGCCGCAUCCCCCCCCGAAAAUCCCGUACGCGCCGCCAUGGAAAUGGAGAUCGAUUCUGCUCCGAGCGCGACGCCGGAGCAACGGCCGAUCAGGGACGAAGACCUCUUCAAAGCCGCCGAGGGUGGCGAUCCCGCGGCGUUCAGAGCGCUCGCGCGGGACCAGCUCUCCAAGGUGCUCUCCCUCCGGAACGAGGACGGUCGGUCCCUCCUCCACGUCGCCGCUUCCGCCGGUCACGCCGAGAUAGUGGAUAUACUGUCAGAUGCUGAUCAGUCAACAAGUGUGAUAAACAGCAAAGAUGAAGAAGGUUGGGCCCCGCUUCAUUCUGCAUCGAGCAUUGGGAAUGAACAGAUUGUGGAGAUCUUGUUGAGGAAAGGAGCUGAUGUUAACUUAAAGAAUGAUGGCGGACGUACUGGUCUCCAUUAUGCCGCCAGUAAAGGAUGGUUGAAAGUCGCUGAAACUCUGAUUUCACACGGUGCAAAUAUCAAUGCAAAGGAUAAGGUAGGGAGCACUCCAUUGCAUCGUGCUGCGGGCACAGGGAAAUCAGAAAUGUGUGAAUUUCUGAUCGAGGAAGGAGCUGAGGUUGACCCUGUUGAUAAAGCAGGCCAAACGCCUUUGAUGGCUGCAGUAAUUUGCUACAAUAAAGAGGUCUGACAACAGUGAAGUAGUCAUGCAAUUUGCUUUGUUUUGCACUGAAUUAAAGGCUAGGUACAAUUUUACAUGUAUAUCUGCAAACUAUUUUAUACAUUCAUAUAUAUAGCCCUGAGUCCUUUGGGCAGUUACUGGGAUUGAAAAAUUAGAGUCAGCUAGAUCCCUCCUUUAAUGAGAGAAACUGAGGUGGGACAAGGCUUGUCACCCUCCUCCUGUCCUAGCAACCUUUGAAUUGGUCUGUCAGUUAGAAUUGCCGAUUAGGCUAUUCAUAUUCAAAUUUGUAAAUAACCAUACGUGUAAUUCUGCUGUCAUUGCUGGGGCAAAGGCUUGCUGGAGCUUGAACUGAGUGAGGUGGCUAUGCUGUUGAUAAGGCAUGGAGCAGACGUAGAUGUGGAAGAUAAAGAAGGAUACACCGUGCUUGGCAGGGCAUCACAUGACUGGAGACCAGCACUCAUGGACGCCGCGAAAGCCAUGCUCGAAGGAUGAUCCC